UCCGUAGGUGGAUAAUUAAGUCAGAGGUGAAAUCCUGCAGCUCAACUGUAGAAUUGCCUUUGAUACUGGUUAUCUUGAGUCAUUGUGAAGUAGUUAGAAUAUGUAGUGUAGCGGUGAAAUGCAUAGAUAUUACAUAGAAUACCGAUUGCGAAGGCAGAUUACUAACGAUGUACUGACACUGAUGGACGAAAGCGUGGGGAGCGAACA
rnacentral:rRNA from 1 species